UGGGGGAUAUUGCACAAUGGGCGAAAGCCUGAUGCAGCGACGCCGCGUGGGGGAUGAAGGCCUUCGGGUUGUAAACUUCUUUUGCUCUGAACAAGGCGCACCAUGGGGUGUGUUGAGUGUAGGGGUUGAUUAGCGCCGGCUAACUACGUGCCAGCAGCCGCGGUAAUACGUAGGGCGCGAGCGUUGUCCGGAAUUAUUGGGCGUAAAGGGCUUGUAGGUGGCUGGUUGCGUCUGUCGUGAAAGCUCAUGGCUUAACUGUGGGUUUGCGGUGGGUACGGGCUGGCUUGAGUGCAGUAGGGGGAGCUGGAAUUCCUGGUGUAGCGGUGGAAUGCGCAGAUAUCAGGAGGAAUACCGGUGACGAAGGCGGGUCUCUGGGCUGUUACUGACACUGAGGAGCGAAAGCAUGGGGAGCGAACAGG
rnacentral:rRNA from 1 species